AGUAUGAUAGCUAAGGAGAUGGAGAAAACACCUGUCUCUGGAUUACACCUUCAGACUAAGGGCAACCAUGGUAUCCGUGACAGGGAGAAGCAUCGAACCAUGAAGUAUGCGGCAGGGGGAGUAGGAGGAGUGGAAGAGCGGAAUAGGAGGAGUGGAAGUGUGAGUAGGAGUUGGACAAAAAAGCAGACAUCAGAAAGAGGAGUAGGAAAAGACUGAGGAAAUAAGAGUACAGCAUGUGAACACGUCCGGCAGAGUAGCAAAGCACGGCUCGGCUGAUGACCUUUACUGACAUACAGCCAGAGAACAGCAAUGUCCUGCCCUCGGGUCAGGUGAUUCACCUCAAGUGCUGCUGAAAAACCACCACCAGUGAUGAAGAAUGUAAGCAUAAUAAAGGUUGUUGA